UAUGAGUCUCUCCGAGAGAGCGGAAAGGAGUCUAUUCUAACUAUAUAGUACUAGUAUCUCAUCUUUAGAUUGUUAUAUUCAAACCUGUAGCUCGGUGACAGAAUAUUUCAUCUGUUACAUGAUAUAGCAAUCUUGUAUCAUACUUCCUCCGUCCCAAAAUGAGUAGUGCAGUGGCAGUAUAAGAGGCUAGGUGAGGUGGCUGGGAGAGAGAAGAGACCGGACUGAGGAUGAGCAGCACGAGCUAGAUAGCAUAGCAAGAAGGGCCAAGGAGAAAGCGGUGGUUGAUUCGCCAUGAGCAGCGGGCGCGAGAGCAGGUGGGAGCUCCCGGCGACGCUGCGUGCGCUGGCGCGCGACGCCGGCCAGCAGCUGCGGGUACCCCGCGCGGCCGCGGCCGCGGCCACGCCGGCGGCAACGGCGGGGCGGCGCGCGGCGGACGGCGGCGGCAAGGCGGACAAGGUGAUGCACCUGCUGCUUUGGGGGCCCAAGUGAUCGAUCGAUGGGCCUCCGCCGCGCCGGCCGGCCGCCGCCGGCGGGUCAUCGUCUCAUCUCCGACCAGAUCACGGCUGUACAAUAUAUAUGUACUAGUACUAGCUGGCUGAUUGCUCGCUUGCUCCGUUCUCUUUAAUUUCUUAUGGUGUUUUUGGUCCAGUAUCCAUGCACUGAUGAUGCUUGUUUGCCGGGUCAGUCUACAGGGGUUUCCACCGUUUUUCUGUACAUACGAAUCAAGUGGUUUUCCUCGUGAAAAUCACAUGCGUUCUAAUCGGUCCUUUUUUUAUGGAGCAAAACUUAUGUAUCAUCAAUCAUGUACUACUACCUUGUAAACUUUUGCCUUGAGUUUGGGGCAAGUAAUGAUCAGAUCGUGUAAGACUGCCACUUUUAAUUU